UACGUAGGGUGCGAGCGUUGUCCGGAAUUAUUUGGGCGUAAAGAGCUCGUAGGCGGCCUGUUGCGUCGGUUGUGAAAGCCCGGGGCUUAACCCCGGGUCUGCAGUCGAUACGGGCAGGCUAGAGUUCGGUAGGGGAGAUCGGAAUUCCUGGUGUAGCGGUGAAAUGCGCAGAUAUCAGGAGGAACACCGGUGGCGAAGGCGGAUCUCUGGGCCGAUACUGACGCUGAGGAGCGAAAGCGUGGGGAGCGAACAGG
rnacentral:rRNA from 1 species